UGAUACUUACAUAUCAUGUAAAAACAUGGAUAAAACUCACAAACUUGGUUGAGGCAAGGAAGCCAGAGACCAAGACAUACAUACUGCAUGAUUCCACCCAUAAAGAGUUCCAAGUCAGACAAAAUUUACCUGUGAUGUAGAAUUCAGGCUUAUGCUUAUCUUUAGAAGGGGGGCAUUGACUGGAAGGUGCCAUGAAUUAGGCUUCUGGAUUGGUGAUCAAAAUGUUCCAUUUUGCCUCUAAGGACAUGUUCCAUUUCUUGACCUGGGUGAUGGAUGUCUGGAUAUGUUCACUUCACGAAAAUUGCAUCCAUCAAGACACUCAGGAUUUGUGCACCUUUAUUAGCCAGGAGAAUUCUCAAAUCUUUAUAAAUAAGCAAUCCAGGAGCCAGAGAAUCGUGAGAUCUCGUAUAAAUAAACCAUCCAGGGAAAACAUAGCCAG
rnacentral:lncRNA from 1 species